CUUCUUCAAUCUACGGCCACCACCAUCUCUUUUCUUCCUUCUAUGAUUAACUUUACCGUUGUCUUCCAUCUACAACGAACGUCAAGCAAUUUCGUCCAGUUGUCGUGUCACCGUUAGCCCGAGUCACUUCGGUUCUGUCAUGCCACGUUGUUUAGAUCUGAAUCGGUUGAUUUUUUGUUGCAUCGAUCUGUCGUCGUUUGUGGACUGCAGCCGCCAUGACCAUCUCAUCUCCUUCCUCCAUUUCGAUUGACACCAAUCCGACUACGCCCACGCCAUCGUAUCUCUAUUUUUUGCACCGUGGAGCAUUGUCGAUCGGUCUGUCUUUGUCUGCAUCUGCUCCCUGUUUGCGAGGCGCAAACCGAGCCUCAUGUUUAGUUCACGCACAGCUUCUCCAAUGCAUAUCAGAUCACGUCGUCAUGGUCUUCCUUCGACGUUCGCAAAGUGUCCUUGUCUCUACCUUGUUGAGGGUAGUUAUGGUAAGGAUGAAAUUGGUGGGUUUUAAGGUUAUGCGUUGUAAAUACAUUGAGGUGUGUUGUUGGUUUAAUUGGUUGAAUUGAUGUUUAUUCUUGAAGGCAAUAUUGGUGAAUUGGUGUUAGGAUCCUUGAGUUUCGCAGUAAGCUUCGUUGGAGUUCGAUUCUCCACUUUUUGGGUAAGUUGUGGAAUUUACUUAUAGGGUGAAUUGAAUGAAUGAAAUUGUUUGUGGAAGUGAUUGAUUUAUGUUCAAUUAUGUUUAAAUCGGUUCGUUGCACUUUAGUUUGAUAAAGAAGCUUAAGUAAAGUUAAGGUAAGGGAUUUCUAUUACUGGAUGUAAACUGAAUGUGUUGAUGGAUUAUACUGAAUUGAGAAUGUGGAAUUGAUUGAAUUGAGAAUGUUGAACUAAAUGAAUUUGAGGAAAGUUGAUUGUUAUGUUAAAGUAUAGGUAGUGUAAUGUUGACUGAACUAACUGAACUGAGGUGGGUGAUGCUUAUAUAUAAGUUUAUUUGUUCAAGGAACCGUUAUGCUAAUGAUUGAUUUAUGUACUGGUAUGAGUAAAUUGACUGUAUAUGUGUUGGACUGAAAUGAUUAUAUGAUGAUGGUAGCUUGGAUUGCAUUUGGAUUUGACUGUUUAAGAUGUUAAAUUGGACUAAGAUGGGUUGACUGAUAUGUAAAUUUAAAUAUGAUGACUGAUGUUUAGUAUGGUUGGCUAAACUCUGAUGUGCACUAGUGUUUGUUUUGACUAAUGAUGUGUAGUAAAUGAGAAAUGUCAAUAGUUUUCAUUGUGAUUUGAUGUGAUUGUUAUAAAUUGUUAAAAUGAUUGAGAAAAAAUUGUUAGCUUUAUCUAUGAGGUAGUAUGCCUUGUGUCACAAUCGCAACCUUUCAAACACGAGAUAAGCUAAUGUGCGACACUUUUUCGAUCCUAUCAACAAGUCAGUCGAUCGAAAGCUGAAAAAUUGCAGACAAACUCAACGUACGAUUCAACCUCUACCCACGUUUUUGGAAAAAUAUUUUAGAAAACGUGAGAGAGAAAUAAAUUCAUUGAAACCGUUGUUAAAACAAGCUUUGAAAACUGUCAAUUGCAAUAAGAAAGCAUAGAUUGCAAAGAGUAUGACAAGGCUUGGGCGGAGAUUCAAUAGGUAUGCCUCCCCUAUAGUACAUUUUGAACAUUUUUAGCUCAGGUAGGCUUGCAAAUGAAAAUUCCGAAAUGUCACACCCAAGCUUUAUGACUUAAAAUGAAAGGCAACUACCUAAACUAUGUACAAGACAUAAAGACAAGAUAAAUUGAGGGUGCUCGGAGUAUACGACCAUAGGUAAAGACACCCUGGACAAGUAUGUCUGUUACACCUUGUAGGUGUCCCAUGCGAUCACCACUUGUUGUGCAUCCUUCCGAAGUACUAGACUGAUAGGUGUAUCCUUCGAGAGCACUAGACUGAUAGGUGCAUCCUACGAGAUCACAAGAUUGUUAUGAUGCAGGGUACCUCCCAAUAGAAAGUUAAUAAUUUUUACCCCUAGCGGGACCAGUUGUGGAUAUCUUACUUGGUAUAUUUAUACUCACCCUUUCAUGUUUAACUUUUCCGACAAGGGUAAUACGAGAGACAGACUGACGAGGGAUAUGAAUGAUGUGUGACUGCCAUAUGCGGACCUAAUUUUUCUUAAAUUUUGCUUCUGCUUAUGGUUUUAAUUUUUUUUUUGUGAUUGAAUUGAGUUUAUGGAUAGUAUUUUGUAAACAAUACUUUUAGAAACUUUAUUUGUUUGAAAUAGGGCUCGAACAACGUUUUUCUUGAUCGUUAUGAUUUCAAAUAAAUUUUACCAUAUUUUGUGUGAACCAAAGUAUUUUGUCUAAAAUAAUGACUUCGACAUAAAUAGAAAAGUUGGGUCUUUACAAAUACUGGAACACUUACAACCAUGGUUCAAGCAACAAAUAAUAUUUUCAGAGGUGAAGGAUUACCGGUUGGUUGUUUAUGCUUGUACAGAAAAUCAUAUUAUAUGUAUUAUGAUGAUAUUUACACUAGUUUUGAUUAAGGGCUGUAGUUCCAUACUUGUAAAUUGUUCAAACUUGAUUGAAAAUGCAUGAAUAUUACAAAGUGUAUUAUAGUGUAUAUAUAUUAAAGUGUUGAUCAUUUGUUUCUAUAUAGUUGUUAUGUAUUUUAACAUUAUUGUCGUUCAAAUGGUUCGUGUAGUGGUGGAGCAACAAGGAGAACAAGGAAAAACGGUAGUAAUUAAUUUGCAACAUGAAAUAAAUGUCAUAAUAUAUGAAUUCAUUACACUCCAUAAUUGUCGUCAAUAUUAAAACAAUGACAUUUUUUUAUAAGAAAAACUAUCACGAUUGCCCUAUAUUUGACAGAAAAAAAAUGUCGUCAAUAGCAAAACAAUGACAUUUAAUUUCUAAAAAAACUGUCACAAUUGACAUACCCUUGACGUCUAAAAAAUAUCAUAAUAAAUGAAUUUACGACAUUUUUAAACUAUCGUUCAUAAGCAAAUGAUGACAGUUAUUUGUUGUCAUAAUAUAAAUUAUGACAGUUAUUUGUUGUCAUAAAAUAGUAAUUAACGACAUUUAUUUUCUAUCAUGAAAAAACUUAUUGCGACAGUUUUCGAAAACUGUGACUUUCCAUGACUCCUGCUUCUAUGACUGUAUAUAAUUGCCACAGAUUUUAUUCGCGACAGAAAAUAACUGUCGUCGUAGAUAACUUUUCUUGUAAUGGUUAAUUAUUCAUUUGAAUCACAAUUUUGGUAAUUCAUUUUCAAAUCUUUGGAUAUAAUUAUUUCAUUCUUUUUUUUUUUUCAUUCAUGUUCACAGGCCACAACAAAAAGCUAAGGAUGAAAAAGAAAUCAAAUUAUGUUUUUCUAUAUAUUCUCUUAUAAUUUUUUUUCUUUUGUUGUCUACUUUUUUUUUUAUAUAGAAGUAUGUUUGUGUACCUACAUUUUAGUACACAAAAGAAGUUGGGGAAACUUG
rnacentral:lncRNA from 1 species